rnacentral:lncRNA from 1 species
AAAGCUAAAGUAUUUUAACUGGAUGACGUUUUUAGGUGGGGUAAAAAUUAGAAGAAGAGAGAAUAUAGAUAGAGAAGAAGAGGAGAAGGAGAGAGCAUGGAGAAGAAGAGAUGAAAAAGACGCAGAGAGAGGAGAUGAAGAAGAAAGAGUAGAGGGAGAGAGAAGAAAAGUAUAAAUAAAAAAAUAAAAAAAUUCAUUUGCUUUCUUUUUAAAAUUUAAAAAAUUUAGUCCUAGUCUAAUUGUACACCAAACGCAGUAUUAGGCUUAUCCAACUUAUAUCAAUCCAAGACAAUCUCAGUGUUUAGUCUAGUCCAUGAUAGUUCAGCAUACCAAACGACCUCGAAGUGAGGCCUAUAUUUAUUAGAGAUGUGCUACACAAAGGAUGUGGAGUGGCCUAAUGGUUCCCUUUCCCCCUUAGAGCACUUCCACCCUAGUAUAAGUG